GACGAACGCUGGCGGCGUGCUUAACACAUGCAAGUCGAACGGAAAGGCCCUGCUUGCCGGGUACUCGAGUGGCGAACGGGUGAGUAACACGUGGGUGAUCUGCCCUGCACUUCGGGAUAAGCCUGGGAAACUGGGUCUAAUACCGGAUAGGAGCCAUUUUUAGUGUGAUGGUUGGAAAGUUUUUUCGGUGUAGGAUGAGCUCGCGGCCUAUCAGCUUGUUGGUGGGGUAAUGGCCUACCAAGGCGGCGACGGGUAGCCGGCCUGAGAGGGUGGACGGCCACAUUGGGACUGAGAUACGGCCCAGACUCCUACGGGAGGCAGCAGUGGGGAAUAUUGCACAAGGGGCGCAAGCCUGAUGCAGCGACGCCGCGUGGGGGAUGACGGCCUUCGGGUUGUAAACUCCUUUCGCUAGGGACGAAGCUUUUUGUGACGGUACCUAGAGAAGAAGCACCGGCUAACUACGUG
rnacentral:rRNA from 1 species